UACGGGGGGGGCAAGCGUUGUUCGGAAUUACUGGGCGUAAAGCGCACGUAGGCGGCGCGUUAAGUCGGGUGUGAAAGCCCUGGGCUCAACCCAGGAAGUGCAUUCGAAACUGGCGCGCUUGAAUAUGGAAGAGGGUCGCGGAAUUCCCGGUGUAGAGGUGAAAUUCGUAGAUAUCGGGAGGAACACCAGUGGCGAAGGCGGCGACCUGGGCCAAUAUUGACGCUGAGGUGCGAAAGCGUGGGGAGCAAACAGG
rnacentral:rRNA from 1 species